AUACGUAGGGGGCAAGCGUUAUCCGGAUUUACUGGGUGUAAAGGGAGCGUAGACGGUGUGACAAGUCUGAUGUGAAAACCCGGGGCUCAACUCCGGGAUUGCAUUGGAAACUGCCAUACUUGAGUGCAGGAGAGGUAAGCGGAAUUCCUAGUGUAGCGGUGAAAUGCGUAGAUAUUAGGAGGAACACCGGCGGCGAAGGCGGCUUACUGGACUGUAACUGACGUUGAGGCUCGAAAGCGUGGGGAGCAAACAGGAUUAGAUACCCUGGUAGUCCACGCGGUAAGCGAUGAAUACUAGGUGUUGGGGGUCUAUAGACCCUCGGUGCCGCAGCAAACGCAAUAAGUAUUCCACCUGGGGAGUACGUUCGCAAGAAUGAAACUCAAAUGAAUUGGCGGGG
rnacentral:rRNA from 1 species